rnacentral:rRNA from 1 species
AUUGAACGCUGGCGGCAUGCCUUACACAUGCAAGUCGAACGGUAACAGGUUAAGCUGACGAGUUGCGAACGGGUGAGUAAUGUAUCGGAACGUGCCCAGUCGUGGGGGAUAACUUCUCGAAAGAGCAGCUAAUACCGCAUACGACCUGAGGGUGAAAGCGGGGGAUCGCAAGACCUCGCGCGAUUGGAGCUGCCGAUAUUAGAUUAGCUAGUUUGUGAGGUAAAGGCUCACCAAGCCGACGAUCUGUAGCUGGUCUGAGAGGACGACCAGCCAAACUGGGACUGAGACACGGCCCAGACUCCUACGGGAGGCAGCAGUGGGGAAUAUUGGACAAUGGGCGAAAGCAUGAUCCAGCCAUGCCGCGUGGGGGAAGAAGGCCUUCGGGUUGUAAAGCGCUUUUGUCAGGGAAGAAAAGGAGCUGGCUAAUACCUGGGACUAAUGACGGUACCUGAAGAAUAAGCACCGGCUAACUACGUG